rnacentral:rRNA from 1 species
GACGAACGCUGGCGGCGUGCUUAACACAUGCAAGUCGAACGGAAAGGCCCUGCUUUUGUGGGGUGCUCGAGUGGCGAACGGGUGAGUAACACGUGAGUAACCUGCCCUUGACUUUGGGAUAACUUCAGGAAACUGGGGCUAAUACCGGAUAGGAGCUCCUGCUGCAUGGUGGGGGUUGGAAAGUUUCGGCGGUUGGGGAUGGACUCGCGGCUUAUCAGCUUGUUGGUGGGGUAGUGGCUUACCAAGGCUUUGACGGGUAGCCGGCCUGAGAGGGUGACCGGCCACAUUGGGACUGGGAUACGGCCCAGACUCCUACGGGCGGCAGCAGUGGGGAAUAUUGCACAAUGGGCUGAAGCCUGAUGCAGCAACGCCGCGUGCGGGAUGACGGCCUUCGGGUUGUAAACCGCUUUCGCCUGUGACGAAGCGUGAGUGACGGUAAUGGGUAAAGAAGCACCGGCUAACUACGUG